AUACGUAGGGUGCAAGCGUUAAUCGGAAUUACUGGGCGUAAAGCGUGCGCAGGCGGCUUUGUAAGACAGAGGUGAAAUCCCCGGGCUCAACCUGGGAACUGCCUUUGUGACUGCAAAGCUAGAGUACGGCAGAAGGGGAUGGAGUUCCGCGUGUAGCAGUGAAAUGCGUAGAUAUGCGGAGGAACACCGAUGGCGAAGGCAAUCCCCUGGGCCUGUACUGACGCUCAUGCACGAAAGCGUGGGGAGCAAACAGGACUAGAUACCCUGGUAGUCCACGCCCUAAACGAUGUCAACUGGUUGUUGGGUCUUCAUUGACUCAGUAACGAAGCUAACGCGUGAAGUUGACCGCCUGGGGAGUACGGCCGCAAGGUUGAAACUCAAAGGAAUUGACGGGG
rnacentral:rRNA from 1 species